rnacentral:tRNA from 1 species
GUGGGUAUAGUUUAAUGGUAAAGCAUUAGCCUUCCAAGCUAAGGUUGACAGUUCAAGUCUGUUUACCCACU